rnacentral:rRNA from 1 species
GAUGAACGCUGGCGGCGUGCCUAAUACAUGCAAGUAGAACGCUGAAGGAGGAGCUUGCUUCUCUGGAUGAGUUGCGAACGGGUGAGUAACGCGUAGGUAACCUGCCUGGUAGCGGGGGAUAACUAUUGGAAACGAUAGCUAAUACCGCAUAAUAGUAGAUGUCGCAUGACAUUUGCUUAAAAGGUGCAAUUGCAUCACUACCAGAUGGACCUGCGUUGUAUUAGCUAGUUGGUGAGGUAACGGCUCACCAAGGCAACGAUACAUAGCCGACCUGAGAGGGUGAUCGGCCACACUGGGACUGAGACACGGCCCAGACUCCUACGGGAGGCAGCAGUAGGGAAUCUUCGGCAAUGGACGGAGGUCUGACCGAGCAACGCCGCGUGAGUGAAGAAGGUUUUCGGAUCGUAAAGCUCUGUUGUAAGAGAAGAACGAGUGUGAGAGUGGAAAGUUCACACUGUGACGGUAUCUUACCAGAAAGGGACGGCUAACUACGUG